AGCCAUGUGAUGCGCGCAGAGCAAACUAUUCUUUCGCCUUUUACUUAAGAAUACCGUGUGCUCGUCACAAUCAGUGUGCUCGUCACAAUCAGUGGCAUACGCCUAUUUUUGGAGGAG